rnacentral:rRNA from 1 species
GAAACCCGCCUGCAUGAAGUUGGAAUCGCUAGUAAUCGCGGAUCAGCAUGCCGCGGUGAAUACGUUCCCGGGCCUUGUACACACCGCCCGUCACACCAUGAGAGUCGGGAACACCCGAAGUCCGUAGUCUAACCGCAAGGGGGACGCGGCCGAAGGUGGGUUCGAUAAUUGGGGUGAAGUCGUAACAAGGUAAC